UUAUCUAUAACCAAUUUUACUGUGUAUCAUUUUGGCCCUUGUCAGUUUCAUUUUGGUGCUUAAGAUCAAAUUGACUCAAAAUGACAGAAUAGAAAUGGCACGCUUCAGCCCAUGGAUAGCCAAGGGGAGGUGUCCAAGGCACAGGAUAUUUCUGGACAGCUAGGGGGAGUGUGGAGAGAAACCUGGGAUCAAAAAUAAAUUUGAGAGUCAUUUUCAUCUGGGUGUUGAGGCCAAGGGAAGAGGUGAUACCUCACAAGAGUGUGUGUAGACCAUGAGAGAAGAGCACCCAGGAACAUUAAGAGGAGCACCAACAUUUGGGAAAGAAAUGGCUAGAAGAGGAGAAAAUGAGGGAGAGGCAGGAGGUAGGAAGAAGCCCGCAGGAGGCAUUAUCAUGGAAGCCAGGUCAAGGAACGGAAUGGUGGGUGACGAUGGAUGCUGCAGAGGUCAUGUAGGACCCAUACUGAAACGCGUCCUUUGGAUUUAGCAACAACAUCAUCACUGUGCUCAGUGAGAGACAUCUCAGGAGUGGAGAAAGAAAUACCCAGCUGGAUAUAUUCGUCAGAGGAGUGAAAAGGAACUGAAGGACGGAGACCAUCGUACAGCCAUUGUUGGCUGUAAGAAGUUUCAGCUUCUCCCGGGAAUGUGAUGUUUACCCAGUCAACCUGGAAUUACCGGAUCAGCCCUAGUGAGGUGAUCUGCAUGAUAGACCCCCGCCCUUCCCCCAAAAGAAGCCUGGCCGAAAUAGUCCACUCUACUAAAACUUCCAUUUCUACCCCCAUCUACCUAUAAAAGCUUUCCAUUUUGUACACUUCCUCAGAGUUCCUUUUUACUUGCUAGAGGGGAUGCUGCGUGAUUUGUGAAUUGUUGAAUAAAGCCAAUUUGAUCUUCAAAUUCA